GCCAUUUCUCCCUCUCCACAGCUUCAGCGCUAGCAGAAAUUAUCCUUUGCUAAUUGCUGGCCCUCCUCUUACACGAACACACACAGAAAGAACAUGGCUGCCUCUGCUGCACUCGUUUUUGCAGGGAAAUCUGUGGCGACUUCGGCCAUAUCCUUCUUGGUCAACAAGGCUUUCAGCUACAUCGAUGAGUACUGCAAGUCCGAAAACAUGGAUGAGUUGAAGAAUCGGCUCCUGCGGGCCAUGCCACAUAUCCAGGCGGUGUUUGUCGUCAACCCGGAACUUGUCAGGGAGCAGAGCAGCGGCCUCGACGCGUGGCUCUGGCAGCUCAGGGACGCGGUCGAGGCGGCGGAGGACGCCAUCGAUGAGCUUGAAUACUACGAGCUCGAGGAGAAGGCCAAGGACCAAAAGGUUAGUGAAUGGGGUUCCCCUCUUGGUAAGAUGAAGCACAAGUUUGUCAGAUCUUUUGGCCCUGCUAUCAACAAGACUAUCAAGAAAAUUAGUCACCGUGACACUCUGAAGAGGUUGAUGAAAUCUGUGGAUGAUUUAGACAAGGCUGCCGUAGGUGUUAGUGAUUUCCUCAAGCUCACAGACCAUCUCAGUGGAGGUUCUUCUACCAGCAGCCAGCAGCUCAUGGACAAUGAUCGCAAGACUAGUUCAACAUUAAGUGCAACCAAUUUUGUUGGACGAGAAAAGGAGAACGAACAGAUUAUUGGAUGGCUAGCCAACACCUCAGAUGAAUUGGGUGAAACUAUGGUCAUAAAGACCAAUAGUAUUCCAAUUAUUUCAGUUAUUGGUCAUGGUGGCAUGGGGAAGACUGCCUUGGCUCAGAGCAUAUGUGGGCAAGAUGAGGUAGUAAAGCAUUUUAAGGUCAUCUGGACCACCAUAUCUACUAGCUUUGAUGCGACAUCGGUGACAAGUAAAAUACUCGAAGACGCUACGGGCGUGAAACCGAGCAGCGAUCAUUUGGAACCACUACAACGGAACCUCAAAGAGAAACUCGCAUCCAUUAAUUUUUUGUUAGUUCUAGAUGACGUUUGGGAAGAUAAGAAGAGAGAUGAAUGGGAGAAGUUAUUUGCUCCUCUGAAGGAACUGAACACUACUGGGAGCAAAAUUCUGUUGACAACCCGAAUGCAAUCUGUAGCAGACAUGGCUGCAAAGGUGAUGGGAGUCGAAAGGGAUAAGUUCUUGACAUUACAAGGACUGGAAGAUGAUAAAAAUCUUGAGCUCUUCGGUCAUCAUGCCUUUUCCGGUUUGAAUCCAAGAGAUGAUGCAUAUUUGAUGUUAAUUGGAGAACAAAUUGCAAAGAAACUGAGGGGAUGUCCCCUGGUAACGAAGGUUGUCGCCGAGCAUUUGCUAUAACACCUGAAUACUGGAGGAGAUUCUUGCAUCAAGGAUUGGAACAUUUUAAAGGAACCGAAAAAGAUAUUAUGAAGGUUCUCAGAUUGAGCUAUUACCACUUACCAACAGAGCUACAGAUUUGCUUUCGGUACUGUCGCCUAUUUCCGCAGGACUAUAUAUUUGAAAAGAAAGAGUUGGUGAAAAUGUGGAUUGGUUCAGGAUUGAUUGCAAGUGGCAUUCAAUCUUUGGAGGAUACUGCAGAACAAUUCUUGGCUCAGCUAACUAGAAAGUCGUUCUUUGAUAAGAAACCUAUAUGGGCACAAAGAGAAUUUUAUGUAAUGCAUGACCUGAUGCAUGAAUUAGCAAGCAAUGUGUCCACCGGUGAAUGUGCAAGAAUAGUUGACCCUGUUCAACUUCAAGAUGAGAAGUAUACAGUCCGACACCUAUGCAUUGUCAAUAUUCACAGUUUCUCUGCUGAUGAGGUCAAGAAAAUCUCCCAUUUUAAGAAUCUGCGCACUAUUAUCAUUGAUUGUAUGCCGCCACUUGAAAAUGAUACUCUUUGCGCACUUCAAAUGAUAGUUGAGACCUCAAAAUCACUGCGACUAUUCCAUGCACAAUUAUGGAGCGCAUCCCGUUUUGCUGUCAAUUUUGGUAACUUGAAACAUCUUCGCUAUAUCUGCGUGAGUUCGAUACCACAAGACAAGAUAUGUGGGGUCGCAAGACUUUAUCACUUGAUGGUCCUUCACCAUGGUUCUUCUGGGACCAAAAUAGAUGAAGCAAGAUAUUUAGGGAACCUUGAACGUUUGCGGUAUGUAUCCUAUGGUGUGCAUGGAUUUGGUAAUUUCCCCAUAAGCAGGCUCACUUCUCUUCAGGAAUUACAUAAUUACCGGGUAGAAGAAAGAACAUGCAACCAAAUAAGUGCAGUUGGGAGCUUAAGAGAUCUUCGUAGAUUGGGUCUGCAGGGUCUUGAGAAUGUCAAGAAUUGGGAAGAAGCUAAGAAUGCCAAGUUGAAGGAAAAACAAUAUCUCAACUCAUUAUUUAUGGAGUGGUCGACACCUGAUCAAAUCAUGACAGAUAACUUAGUUCUUGACCACCUUGAGCCACAUGUUAAUAUCAGAGAAUUGCAAAUUGGGGGUUAUCCAGGUCUCAAAAUUCCAUCUUGGAUCGAGAACUGCUCAGUCAGAAACUUGAUAUCACUCAAGUUGAUAAGCUGCAUAAAUUGGGACUACAUUCCCUCUCUCUGCCAGUUGGUAUUGCUGGAGCUUUUAGUGUUGGACAAUCUUCCUAAGCUACGGCAGAUUGGUCGAUCAUCUGAUAUGUCCAAGAGUAGUUCCAUGGAGUUGUUGUUACCUCAAAGCCUUAAUACUUUGGAAGUAAGCAAAUGCCAGAAACUGAGGGAAUUACCACUUCUGCCUCCAAGCCUAAUAUCAUUGAAAAUACACGAUGUUUGGCUGACCAAGUUUCCUAUUAUUGGCAAGGUAUCGAGUGAGAGCAUCGAGUCAAAAUCAUCUAAGUUGAUUAACGUAAGGGUCACCAACUGUCCUCAUUUAACUUCGUUGGAAGGGAGCCUUUUGGAGCAAAAACUGUACAUGGGAACUCUUCGUGUCCUAACAAUUGUUGAUUGUAAACAUCUGGAGUCCGCAUCCAUACCAUUUGAAGAAAUGAAACAACUUAAGGAACUUGCAGUAAUGCAAUGUCCAAAGUUGAGGACGAUGAGAGAUGCCAAAGAUAAGCUUGUGCCAUCGUCACUAAGAGAACUAGCUAUUGGCGGGUGCGGUGACCUGUAACUUCCACUGCUUGGGUCACUGCAGCUGCUCACCAACUUAUCUAGGCUCGAGCUGCAGAACUGCUCGAGCCUGUUAUCUCUCCCGUCCGCAGAUGUGUUCAAGAGUUUCAGGUCGCUGCAGAACAUACGUGUAACGCGAUGCGAGAAUCUCUCGUCCCUGGGAGGGCUCGGAUCACUGUCAUCCCUUCAGCACUUAGCUAUCUCCAAUUGCAAUAAACUCAUGGAGGCUGGGUCUUCCUUGCUAUCUGGUUCUGGUGAUGCAGAAGAGCAUCUGGUGGAGCCCGGCAACUCACUGCGGAUAAGUUUUCUUAUAUUUGAUCUGCCGUCCUUGCUGCUUCAUGAGCCGCUCAAGAGUCUGUGCCACACUGAAAAUGUAUGCAUUAAUGGCUAUUCACAGACGGAGAGCUUACCUGAACAAUGGCUGCUACAGAACCGCUCAUCCCUCCGAUACCUGGGUAUACAGAAAGCAGAAUCCUUGGAAUCGCUCCCACCGAGCAUGCAAGACCUUUGCUCUCUCAAGUCAUUAUACCUUGAUGGUGCUCUGCUACUCCGAUCACUUCCAUAUCUUCCCUCCUCCUUGAAGAAUCUGAGCAUUAGGGAAUGCCAUCCAGACCUGGAGAAGAAGAUCACAAAACAUGGAAGCUCUGAAUUGAACAAGACUGCCCACAUCCCUGAUGUGACAAUAGGAGGUUGGCAUUUCCUCAUGGGCAAGAAAUUCAGCAGAGAGGCUUACCAUAAACUGAGUGAUAGUGACCGCAACAGAUUUAUGUCCGAGUCGUCGUUGCACUAGUGGAAGAAACGGUUCUGACUCAAGAAUGCUUCCUAUCCUAAGCCUGUUGCUGUUCAACAGAAUGCUCACAAGAAGCUUCAGCUCCAUCUAAUAAAAGGUCUUCCAGACUCUUAAUUUACUUCAAGUCAACUCCUUGUUCAUCAGAUCUUACAUAUUGUGGUCCUGACAAGAUGCCAUGUUCUGCCGGAUCAUACUUUCUGAAUUCAAGAAUCUGAGCGAAAGAAGAAUUCAUGUUCAGCUUAGUUCAGCUAUAUAUAUGUACAAAUUGCAGCCUAGCUACCUUUCAACCCGUGAGUUGAUUAGAAGAAUCUCCAUUUUGUUGUAAUUGUGUCGAAUAUAUAUGUUCAGGUCAGGUUACAAGUUAGGAUUUGCAGUUUAAUAGGAACAGGGUAGAGUUUGUGCUGAACUCUCGUUGCUUAUUUCUGCAAAUGUCUUCAGUUUAGUACGUGAGAGAUUGUUGGGGGCAUCAACCACCCGAAUGAAUGAUCUCGCGAACACAUUUUCCGUCAAGUACGUGCAAACUUGCGUGCUGCAACAACUCUUCAAAUUAAUCUGGGGAGUCGAUUGAUGGUCAAGUACUACCAGGUAGCCUACUGAGACGGAUACACUGUUGGUGGCGUGUAAUCGUUGUACUUGAUGCAUGGAUCUCUGGAGCGCAUGCAAAUUGGUGAUGCUUCUUGAGCCACUAAAGAGUCUCUGCCACAUCGGAUAUUUGUUAUGACUGCCAGAGAUGGAUAGCUUACCUGAACGAUGGCUGCUACAGAACCGUUCAUCCCUCGUAUUCCUGACUAUUCCCAAACGCAAAGUUCUUGAAGUCGCUCCCACCCAGAAUGCAAGACCUCUGCUCUCUAGAGAAAUUGUACUCCCUCUGUAAAUUAAUAUAAGAGCGUUUAGAUCUUAGUGAUCUAAACGCUCUUAUAUUAGUUUACGGAGGGAGUACCUAUUUGACGCUGAGCAACUCCAGUCACUUCCAUAUCUGCCCUCCUUGAAGGCCCUCAGUCUUACAGGAUGCCAUCCGGACCUGAAGAAGAAGAUUGCGAAACAUGGAAGCCCUGAAUGGAACAAGAUUGCUCACAUCCCUUAUGCGAAAAUAGGAGAUUCGCUUUUCAUCAGUGGCAAGAAGAAACACAAAAGGCCUUCACCAAACUAAGUGAUAGUGACCGCAACAGACUUAUGUCCAAGUACUCGCUGCACUAGUGGAAGAAACGGUUCUGUCUCAAGAAUGCUUCGUAUCCCAAGCCUGUUGUUGUUCAUCAGAUCUUACAUCUCGUGCUGCUGACAAGAUGCUAAUGUUCUGCGGGAUGAUACUUUCUGAAUUCAAGAAUCUGAGGGAAAGAAUAAUUCAUGUUCAAGUUCAGUUACAUAUAUGUAAAAUUGUAGCCUAGCUACCUUUCAACCCGUGAGUUGAUUAGAAGAAUCUCUAUUCUGUUGUAAUUGUGUCGAACAUAUAUUCAGGUCAGAUUACAACUUACUAAGAUUUGGAGUUGUAAUAGAAACAGGGGGGUAGAGUUUGUGUUGGACUCUCUGCUUAUUUCUGCAAAUGUCUUCAGUUCAGUACAGAUACCGCCUCGUGAGAGAUUGUUGGGGGCAUCAAUCGCCUGAAUGAAUGAUCCCAAUACAUCUGAAUGAAUGUUGGGGGCAUCAAUCGUCAUCGACACCAUCAUCUCGGGUCUCCGCUCUUCGGCCUCGGCGUUAGCACCACCACCACCGCCACCCCCUCCCGAGCCGGAUUAGCCCCUGUUUUCUCUUUGUUUGGGGCUUGUUUUGCUGUGCCCCCAGCGAUUAUUUGAGACUUGCUUGUACUUGAACCUCUUGACUUGCUGUUGGAUGCUUGGUGUUGUUGCUUUAUAAUAUAAAGCGGGGGGAAACC
rnacentral:rRNA from 1 species